rnacentral:rRNA from 1 species
UACGGAGGGUGCGAGCGUUGUCCGGAAUCACUGGGCGUAAAGGGCGCGUAGGUGGCGACGCAAGUCAACGGUGAAAGCUCGACGCUCAACGCCGAGUCGGCCGUCGAUACUCCCGUGCUCGAGCACUGUAGAGGCAGGUGGAAUUCCGGGUGUAGCGGUGGAAUGCGUAGAGAUCCGGAAGAACACCGGUGGCGAAGGCAGCCCCCUGGGCUAACACUGACGCUCAGGCACGAAAGCGUGGGGAGCAAACAGG